rnacentral:rRNA from 1 species
AUUGAACGCUGGCGGCAUGCCUUACACAUGCAAGUCGAACGGCAGCACGGGGCAACCUGGUGGCGAGUGGCGAACGGGUGAGUAAUGCAUCGGAACGUACCUUUCAGUGGGGGAUAACGUAGCGAAAGUUACGCUAAUACCGCAUAUUCUGUGAGCAGGAAAGCAGGGGAUCGCAAGACCUUGCGCUGAUUGAGCGGCCGAUGUCAGAUUAGCUAGUUGGUGAGGUAAAGGCUCACCAAGGCGACGAUCGGUAGCGGGUCUGAGAGGAUGAUCCGCCACAAUGGAACGGGGACACGGUCCAGACCCCUACGGGAGGCAGGAGUGGGGAAUUUUGGACAAUGGGGGCAACCCUGAUCCAGCCAUCCCGCGUGAGUGAAGAAGGCCUUCGGGUUGGAAAGCUCUUUCGGCCGGGAAGAAAUCGCACGGGCUAAUACCCUGUGUGGAUGACGGUACCGGAAUAAGAAGCACCGGCUAACUACGUGCCAGCAGCCGCCGUAA